GACGAACGCUGGCGGCGUGCUUAACACAUGCAAGUCGAACGGAAAGGCCCUGCUUUUGUGGGGUGCUCGAGUGGCGAACGGGUGAGUAACACGUGAGUAACCUGCCCUUGACUUUGGGAUAACUUCAGGAAACUGGGGCUAAUACCGGAUAUGAGCUCCUGCUGCAUGGUGGGGGUUGGAAAGUUUCGGCGGUUGUGGAUGGACUCGCGGCUUAUCAGCUUGUUGGUGGGGUAGUGGCUUACAAAGGCUUUGACGGGUAGCCGGCCUGAGAGGGUGACCGGCCACAUUGGUACUGAGGUACGGCCCAGACUCCAACGGGACGCAGCAGUCGGGAAUAUUGCACAAUGGGCGGAAGCCUGAUGCAGCAACGCCGCGUGCGGGAUGACGGCCUUCGGGUUGUAAACCGCUUUCGCCUGUGACGAAGCGUGAGUGACGGUAAUGGGUAAAGAAGCACCGGCUAACUACGUG
rnacentral:rRNA from 1 species